UACGUAGGGGGCUAGCGUUGUCCGGAAUCAUUGGGCGUAAAGCGCGCGUAGGCGGCCCGGCAAGUCCGCUGUAAAAGUCAAAGGCUCAACCUUUGAAUGUCAGUGGAUACUGCCGGGCUAGAGUCCGGAAGAGGCGAGUGGAACUCCUGGUGUAGCGGUGGAAUGCGCAGAUAUCAGGAAGAACACCGACGGCGAAGGCAGCUCGCUGGGACGGUACUGACGCUGAGGCGCGAAAGCGUGGGGAGCGAACAGG
rnacentral:rRNA from 1 species